rnacentral:lncRNA from 1 species
AUGUUCAUCUGGCUCCGCAAUGGAGAUAUUGCAGUUGCAAAGAUCAGGAUAAUCCGUACUUGGGAUGCCAGGUGGGGGGAACAACAACAAUGCCAACAACUUCAACUUAUGGGACAGCUGGCUGUUGGGACCAAAACGUCUGGAACUUCGGAUCCCUCAUCAGUGGACAACGAGCCAGAUCAGACCUUCUCCGUCAGGAAAGCGAGAGGUGGAAAGAAGAGAGCUACCCAGGAAAUUGUGAAGCACCGACAGAGCGAGCGUCUUGCAGCAAAAGAAGCUGGUGCCUUUCAGACUGUCGCUGUUAAGCUCAAUCAGGUGGUUGCCCAACACAAGCUUCUUGACUUCGACUCGGCCACCACACCGGAAGCACUCAAAGAUCUUGCUGUCACCUGUGGUUUGGAUGACCAUGACGUCCUUCAGCUCAACAUGGUGCUCGCUGAGAAUAAAUUCACAACGCUGCAAAUACAAAAAGCUGCAUACUGCAAGCAGCGAGGGAAAAUCCGGAAAAUCAAGUUUGGGAUUGAGGCCCAUGACGCCUCCAAUCACCGCAAAACCUUCCUUCGAUCAAUCAAAGUGCAGGGUGUGGAAGUUGCUGAUCAUGUGUCCAAAGCUUCGGUUAUGCAUGAUUACUAUCAAUCGAUCCUAGGUGUGUCUUCAAACUCACAUUGGGACUUCGAUCUCUCUGAUCUGUACCAAGAUUUGAGCUGGGGUCAAGACCAGCUAAUAACACAAUUCACUCAGGCUGAAAUCCUGACAGCAAUCUGGCAAAUGGACAGGAACAGUGCCCCUGGUCCGAAUGGGUUUGGGCCCGGGUUCUAUCAAGCAGCUUGGGCGUCGAUCUCUGGCACGGUAAUGCAGAUGAUGCACAGUUUUCAUGCAAAAACAGACGACCUGGGGAGGAUUAAUAGAGUGUAGAUUGUGCUGA